rnacentral:rRNA from 1 species
GAUGAACGCUGACAGAAUGCUUAACACAUGCAAGUCAACUUGAACUUCGGUUUGGGUGGCGGACGGGUGAGUAACGCGUAAAGAACUUGCCUCACAGAUAGGGACAACAUUUGGAAACGAAUGCUAAUACCUGAUAUUAUGAUUAUAUGGCAUCGUAUAAUUAUGAAAGCUAUAUGCGCUGUGAGAGAGCUUUGCGUCCCAUUAGCUAGUUGGAGAGGUAACGGCUCACCAAGGCGAUGAUGGGUAGCCGGCCUGAGAGGGUGAUCGGCCACAAGGGGACUGAGACACGGCCCUUACUCCUACGGGAGGCAGCAGUGGGGAAUAUUGGACACUGGACCAAGAGUCUGAUCCAGCAAUUCUGUGUGCACGAUGAAGUUUUUCGGAAUGUAAAGUGCUUUCAGUUGGGAAGAAAAAAAUGACGGUACCAACAGAAGAAGUGACGGCUAAAUACGUG